GAUGAAGAACGUAGUGAAAUGCGAUAAGUAGUGUGAAUUGCAGUAUUCAGUGAAUCAUCGAAUCUUUGAACGCACAUUGCGCCCCAUGGUAUUCCGUGGGGCAUGCCUGUUCGAGCGUCAUUUACCCCCUCAAGCUCCGCUUGGUGUUGGGCGUCUGUCCCGCUUCGCGCGCGGACUCGCCCCAAAGGUAUUGGCAGCGGUCGUGCCAGCUUCUCGCGCAGCACAUUGCGCUUCUCGAGGCACCGGUGGGCCCGCGUCCAUCAAGCUCACCCCCCCAGUUUGACCUCGGAUCAGGUAGGGAUACCCGCUGAACUUAAGCAUAUCAAUAAGCGGAGGA
rnacentral:misc_RNA from 1 species